AUUGAACGCUGGCGGCAUGCCUUACACAUGCCAGUCGAACGGCAGCAUGAUCUAGCUUGCUCGAUUGAUGGCGAGUGGCGAACGGGUGAGUAAUACAUCGGAACGUGCCCUGUAGUGGGGGAUAACUAGUCGAAAGAUUAGCUAAUACCGCAUACGACCUGAGGGUGAAAGUGGGGGACCGCAAGGCCUCAUGCUAUAGGAGCGGCCGAUGUCUGAUUAGCUAGUUGGUGGGGUAAAGGCCCACCAAGGCGACGAUCAGUAGCUGGUCUGAGAGGACGAUCAGCCACACUGGGACUGAGACACGGCCCAGACUCCUACGGGAGGCAGCAGUGGGGAAUUUUGGACAAUGGGGGCAACCCUGAUCCAGCAAUGCCGCGUGUGUGAAGAAGGCCUUCGGGUUGUAAAGCACUUUUGUCCGGAAAGAAAUCGCACUUACUAAUAUUAGGUGUGGAUGACGGUACCGGAAGAAUAAGGACCGGCUAACUACGUG
rnacentral:rRNA from 1 species